rnacentral:rRNA from 1 species
CCUACGGGCGGCAGCAGUGAGGAAUAUUGGUCAAUGGACGAGAGUCUGAACCAGCCAAGUAGCGUGAAGGAUGACUGCCCUCUGGGUUGUAAACUUCUUUUAUAUGGGAAUAAAACGUUCCACGUGUGGGAUAUUGUAUGUACCAUUUGAAUACGGAUCGGCUAACUACGUGCCAGCAGCCGCGGUAAUACGGAGGAUCCGAGCGUUAUCCGGAUUUAUUGGGUUUAAAGGGAGCGUAGGUGGAUUGUAAAGUCAGUUGUGAAAGUUUGCGGCUCAACCGUGAAAUUGCAGUUGAAACUGGCAGUCUUGAGUACAGGAGAGGUGAGCGGAAUUCGUGGUGUAGCGGUGAAAUGCUUAGAUAUCACGAGGAACUCCGGUUGCGAAGGCAGUUCACUGGACUGCAACUGACACUGAGGCUCGAAAGUGUGGGUAGCAAACAGGAUUAGAUACCCUAGUAGUC